AUGUCUUCUCAGUCUUCUCAGCUUAUUCUGGAAGUGAUUAGGGCUCCUUUGAAGCUCUGUAUUGUUUCUGUUUCUUCUCUGUUGUUGACGAUUCUCUCUGUUCAUCUCAGCAAUUUUUUUGUGAAUCUAGCUGUUUCAAUGCGAUUGAGGCCUAAAAGGACUUGUUGCCGAGUUGUGUGUUUUGGAGGAUUUGAAAUACAGAAAUUUUCUAAUCUCUUUUUGUUUUUAAGAGGGGAUCUCACUUGA